rnacentral:lncRNA from 1 species
AGCAGCAACAACAAAAAACAAACAAGAAAACUCAAACUUUGCAGAAGAACACCUCUGAAAUCUAUGUCCACAGAUUUUUCUUGUUGAGAAUAUGAUGGUCUUUUGCAAAAAAUUGCUCAGUUUGUCUCUAUUCCAAACUUUAGUGAGCAACUGCCAAAGAUGAUAUUACUUGUUCUGGACUGAAGCCAUCUUAGCUGUUCAGAAAGAGAAAGGAAAAAGAGUCAUCGACCAUCUACAGUGAUACAAGGAAACGGUGUCGACUACCCCCUCAGACUGCAAAGCACUGUCCAAAUGUGAUAUGUCUACUGAGAAGAGAGCUUGCUGAGAGGUGUUCUCAACCUUCUGCAGGAUACAGAUUUCUCCUAAAGUUAGUGCUGUAGUCCUAAAAGGGGAAUUCGUGAAC